UAAAUUUUUACUGAAUGAAUGAAUACACAAAUAUAAAGAAAAUGUAUAUUUGAUGUUAUGGAAAUAAAACAGGUAUGAAGAGAAAUAUUUUACCUAAAAUACAUAUAUUUUAGGAGUUUCUACACAGGACUAGGCAUCAGAAAACAUAUGUUCUAAAAGUGUGUCAAGGGUCACCAUGGAAACCACAGGGCACAACACUUGUGUCCUAGGCUUCUGGAACACUAAGGACCGAAAGAACGUGAGUGAGAGCAGGGGAAUUUAGGAAUCCGUUGAGGAUGCCUGAAUGGGGUUGUUGGCCCUGAUCACACUCUAGAGACAGGCAUAUCGUCACAGGCAAUCAGAAAUGAAAAAGGACCUUAACUUGUACCCUGUAGAAUUGUCUUCAGUUGAUAAAAAGGACUUCUCUGUGAGUGUAUAUUUUAAUUAUGCUGUUAGCUAGGAGUCAAUUAAAUUACAAUACCUAGA
rnacentral:lncRNA from 1 species